CCUACGGGGUGCAGCAGUGGGGAAUAUUGCUCAAUGGGGGCAACCCUGAUGCAGCCACGCCGCGUGAGUGAGGAAGUACUUAGGUAUGUAAAGCCCUAUCAGCCGGGAAGAAAAUGACGCUACCUGACUAAGUCGCCCCGGCUCACUACGUGCCAGCAGCCGCAGGAAUACGUCGGGGGCAAGCGUUAUCCGGAUUUACUGGGGGUAAAGGGGGCGUAGACGGCGUGCCAAGUCUGCUGGGAAAGGCCGGGGGCCAACCCCGGGACUGCAGUUGAAACUGGCAUGCUGGAGUGCCGGAGGGGCAAGCGGAAUGCGUAGUGUAGCGGUGAAAUGCGUAGAUAUUAGGAAGAACACCGGUGGCGAAGGCGGCUUGCUGGACGGUAACUGACGUUGAGGCACGAAAGCGUGGGGAGCGAACAGGAUUAGAUACCCGGGUAGUC
rnacentral:rRNA from 1 species